rnacentral:rRNA from 1 species
AGAGUUUGAUCCUGGCUCAGGACGAACGCUGGCGGCGCGCCUAACACAUGCAAGUCGAACGAGAGAUGAGGAGCUUGCUCUUCAAAUCGAGUGGCGAACGGGUGAGUAACGCGUGAGGAACCUGCCUCAAAGAGGGGGACAGCAGUUGGAAACGACUGCUAAUACCGCAUAAGCCCACGGCUCGGCAUCGAGCAGAGGGAAAAGGAGCAAUCCGCUUUGAGAUGGCCUCGCGUCCGAUUAGCUAGUUGGUGAGGUAACGGCCCACCAAGGCGACGAUCGGUAGCCGGACUGAGAGGUUGAACGGCCACAUUGGGACUGAGACACGGCCCAGACUCCUACGGGAGGCAGCAGUGGGGAAUAUUGCACAAUGGGGGAAACCCUGAUGCAGCGACGCCGCGUGGAGGAAGAAGGUCUUCGGAUUGUAAACUCCUGUUGUUGGGGAAGAUAAUGACGGUACCCAACAAGGAAGUGACGGCUAACUACGUGCCAGCAGCCGCGGUAAAACGUAGGUCACAAGCGUUGUCCGGAAUUACUGGGUGUAAAGGGAGCGCAGGCGGGAAGACAAGUUGGAAGUGAAAUCUAUGGGCUCAACCCAUAAACUGCUUUCAAAACUGUUUUUCUUGAGUAGUGCAGAGGUAGGCGGAAUUCCCGGUGUAGCGGUGGAAUGCGUAGAUAUCGGGAGGAACACCAGUGGCGAAGGCGGCCUACUGGGCACCAACUGACGCUGAGGCUCGAAAGUGUGGGUAGCAAACAGGAUUAGAUACCCUGGUAGUCCACACCGUAAACGAUGAUUACUAGGUGUUGGAGGAUUGACCCCUUCAGUGCCGCAGUUAACACAAUAAGUAAUCCACCUGGGGAGUACGACCGCAAGGUUGAAACUCAAAGGAAUUGACGGGGGCCCGCACAAGCAGUGGAGUAUGUGGUUUAAUUCGACGCAACGCGAAGAACCUUACCAAGUCUUGACAUCCCUUGACGAUGCUGGAAACAGUAUUUCUCUUCGGAGCAAGGAGACAGGUGGUGCAUGGUUGUCGUCAGCUCGUGUCGUGAGAUGUUGGGUUAAGUCCCGCAACGAGCGCAACCCUUAUGGUCAGUUACUACGCAAGAGGACUCUGGCCAGACUGCCGUUGACAAAACGGAGGAAGGUGGGGAUGACGUCAAAUCAUCAUGCCCUUUAUGACUUGGGCUACACACGUACUACAAUGGCGUUAAACAAAGAGAAGCAAGACCGCGAGGUGGAGCAAAACUCAGAAACAACGUCCAGUUCGGACUGCAGGCUGCAACUCGCCUGCACGAAGUCGGAAUUGCUAGUAAUCGUGGAUCAGCAUGCCACGGUGAAUACGUUCCCGGGCCUUGUACACACCGCCCGUCA